rnacentral:snRNA from 1 species
GUCACUUUGGCGACACAUAUCCUAAAAUUGGAAAGAGAGAUGAUUAGCAUGCCUCCUGCACAAGGAUGGCACACAGAUUCAUGAAGCAUUCCAUGUUUUU